rnacentral:rRNA from 1 species
UCAUGGCUCAAGACGAUUGCUAGCGGCGUGCUUAACACAUGCAAGUCGAACGAUGAAAUCGGUGCUUCGCACCGUGGAUUAUCGGCGAACGGGCGAGUAAUACGUCGAGUCGACCUACCUUUGACUCUGGGAUAAGCCUGGGAAACUGGGUCUAAUACCGGAUACGACCAAUCUCUGCAUGGGGUGUUGGUGGAAAGCGUUAUGGAGUGGUUUUAGAUGGGCUCACGGCCUAUCAGCUUGUUGGUGAGGUAAUGGCUUACCAAGGCGACGACGGGUAGCCGGCCUGAGAGGGUGACCGGCCACACUGGGACUGAGACACGGCCCAGACUCCUACGGGAGGCAGCAGUGGGGAAUAUUGCACAAUGGGCGCAAGCCUGAUGCAGCGACGCCGCGUGAGGGAUGACGGCCUUCGGGUUGUAAACCUCUGUUAGCAUCGAAGAAGCGAAAGUGACGGUAGGUGCAGAGAAAGCGCCGGCUAACUACGUGCCAGCAGCCGCGGUAAUACGUAGGGCGCGAGCGUUGUCCGGAAUUAUUGGGCGUAAAGAGCUUGUAGGCGGUUGGUCGCGUCUGCUGUGAAAGGCCGGGGCUUAACUCCGGUUUUGCAGUGGGUACGGGCUAACUAGAGUGCAGUAGGGGAGACUGGAAUUCCUGGUGUAGCGGUGGAAUGCACAGAUAUCAGGAGGAACACCGAUGGCGAAGGCAGGUCUCUGGGCUGUAACUGACGCUGAGAAGCGAAAGCAUGGGGAGCGAACAGGAUUAGAUACCCUGGUAGUCCAUGCCGUAAACGUUGGGCACUAGGUGUGGGGGACAUUCCACGUUUUCCGCGCCGUAGCUAACGCAUUAAGUGCCCCGCCUGGGGAGUACGGCCGCAAGGCUAAAACUCAAAGGAAUUGACGGGGGCCCGCACAAGCGGCGGAGCAUGCGGAUUAAUUCGAUGCAACGCGAAGAACCUUACCAAGGCUUGACAUGCAUUAGAUCGCGUCAGAGAUGGCGUUUCCCUUCGGGGCUGGUGUACAGGUGGUGCAUGGUUGUCGUCAGCUCGUGUCGUGAGAUGUUGGGUUAAGUCCCGCAACGAGCGCAACCCUCGUUCUAUGUUGCCAGCGGUUCGGCCGGGGACUCAUAGGAGACGGCCGGGGUCAACUCGGAGGAAGGUGGGGAUGACGUCAAAUCAUCAUGCCCCUUAUGUCUUGGGCUUCACGCAUGCUACGAAUGGCCGGUACAGAGGGUUGCGAUACUGUGAGGUGGAGCUAAUCCCUUAAAGCCGGUCUCAGUUCGGAUUGGGGUCUGCAAACUCGACCCCGUGAAGUCGGAGUCGCUAGUAAUCGCAGAUCAGCAAACGCUGCGGUAAAUACGUUUCCCGGGCCUUGCACACACCCGCCCGUCA